AGAAGAGUAUAUACUAUUAAUAUUAGGGUCUUUUUUUCUGAGUAGUGGGAUUGUGGGUCUUUUCAUCUUCGUUGGACUUCCUGAUACGUUCUCAAAAUUUUCUGUGAUGUACAUAUAAUACUUAGACAUGCAAUAAAAAUUCAAAUAAAGUCAUAUAUACAGUUAGUACUUUAACUUGUAGAAAGGACAUAUGAUAGUUAAGACAACUCUGUAGUCAUUGAACUAGAACUGAACCAGUCUUUACCCAGAAAGGAAGUAGGAGGAAAAUCGCCUAUUCAUUAAAUAUAUGCAUUUGCAUUAUAACAAUGUGAAGUUCGGCAGAAAAAAAAUUUGAAAAUUUCUUGAAAAAAGCAAGGUUCUCAACUUCCAUUCUAAAUUACUCAUAUAUGAUAUUUGGGGAACAUAAUUGAGCAGGAUUUCUUUAAACUAAAACGUGUUAUCUGAGGGAAAUUCUUGACUAAUGUCUCUUCCUUCCUCUCAGAGCUUUUCAACAAAUCCAACAAGAAUAUUCUCUCUGCUGGGAUAGACCUGGAGGCUACUAUCUGCAUGAACCGGCUCUUCCUCAGUCAGUCACAUUGCUCAAUAAACUCACCCUAUUAGAGGAAGUCUCAAAUGACAUGACGGUGAAAAUACUUGGAAGGCAGCUAUGCUCAUCACUAUACCACCAACACUAAAGAUAUACUGCAUAUUAUAGAAGCCCUACAACCAGACUUACAUCAGCUAAGAAGUUUGGGAUAUCACUACAACAGCCUUUCCAGGAGAAGAAAGGGUUACAAUACAGAGGAAAUCUGGUUUCAGAACAAUGGGGAACACAUAUAGAAUAGUGGUUAAGAGCAUGGGUUCUGGAGGUAGUCAAAUCCGGGUUUUAUUCCUGGGUCUGCCACUGGUUAGGGUAACCCAGGACCACCUACCUUCUCUAAUUCUCAGUUUUAGCAACUGCAAAAUAAGGAAAACAAUGUCUUCUUUAUAGCAUAUAGAUGAAAUGAACUGAUACAGUAAAGCAUCUGCACAGUGCCUGCCACCAAAGUGCUCAAUAGUAACAGUUAAUAUUAUUAAAUGGAAGUUAUUAUAUAUUCCCAGAUGUUAUAUAAUGGAAAUACAGAGAUUUUAACUUUUAAUGGCAUUUUAAGACUACAGUCUGGUUAUAAUGUACUGAGGAAUACUUUUUCACUGUAAGAACAAAUUGCCUUAGAUGAUUUACUUCCUGUCUUGGCUUCUAGUUUUCAUUGAUGAAUUAUUAUAGAUUUGUGUGAAUUUCAAGCAACAUUGACUAAGCUUUUUAUUUUUAAAAGUUCAUUACUUUACUGAUACAUUUAUAUAAAUAUACAUAACAUUUUAGAUAAUGCAUAAAUGUGAUCAUAUACAUGUUUUCAUAGUGAAGUUUUUUUUAAAUAUCUCUCUCCCCCCUCUUGAGCCUCUUUACACCCCAUUCCCAUAGUAGCCCGUGUUAAUAGCCUAAUAUGUAUCCAUUCAUUUUUUUCUCUUGAUUUAUACAAUUCUGUGCAAACCUAUUAAUUAAUAUACUUAUAUACUAUGCAAAUACAGGGUUUUUUGAUUAUUAAUUUAAAAAAUGAGACCAUAUUCUCAAGCAUGUUGCUUUUCUCACCCAGCAAUGCCCAGAGGAACAAUUCACUUGGGUAUAAUGUGAAUUCAUAUUUUAAUGGCAAUACAAUAUUCUAUGAUUUAGAUAUAACAUUAUGUAUUCAGCAAUCCCCCAACUGCUGAGCAUUCAUUUUGUUUCCAUUUCUGGCACUACA